GAUAAACGCUGGCGGCGUGCAUGAGACAUGCAAGUCGAACGAAGGAUCGGGCUUGCUCGAUCCUUAGUGGCGGACGGCUGAGUAACGCGUAGGUGACCUACCCCGAAGUGGGGAAUAACUGCCCGAAAGGGUGGCUAAUACCGCAUGUGGUCGCACGUUCAUUCGUGCGAGUAAAGCCGCAAGGCGCUUCGGGAGGGGCCUGCGUCCGAUUAGCGCGUUGGUGGGGUAAUGGCUUACCAAGGCGACGAUCGGUAGGUGGUCUGAGAGGACGAUCACCCAGACUGGGACUGAGACACGGACCAGACUCCUACGGGAGGCAGCAGUCGGGAAUUUUGCUCAAGGGGGGAAACCCUGAAGCAGCAACGCCGCGUGAGGGAUGAAGGCCUUCGGGUUGUAAACCUCUUUUGUCAGGGACGAUGAUGACGGUACCUGGCGAAUAAGCCACGGCUAACUACGUG
rnacentral:rRNA from 1 species